GUGUCCGACCCUCAUUUUUUGGUUUGCACAGCCCUGAGUAUCAUAGAAGCCUUUGUCAGCAGUGCUGCAAUUUUCAGCAACAGGAGAUAAAGAGCAGAAGCUAAGCUAUGCUGAGGCUUCAGGAUGUCAUGAAACAACAACAGCAACGCACAUGUGGAAAUGGAGGUGGUUCAGGGAAUGCAUCGAUUGCAAAAAGAAUGAGAGAAAAAAAAAAAAGGAAACAGAAGAGAUGUCAUCGUGCACAAAUGCCUUCUGCUCAGUGGUUUUUGGCUGCAAGGCUUUUAGGGCAAGACUGUAGCAGCUUGAGAUGCACAACCCUGGGGCUGUUGGCCAAUGGGCACUUGAAUUCUCCGGCGUUUGCACAUCUCAUGCCAUACAUUUUUUUUCUGGGAGCACUCAGGGCUGGGGGACGCUUCGGAGGCUGCACAAGAGGAGGCUUUUUGUUCCUGACAUCACCACGGCUGCAUCGCUGGAGGACAAUGAGCCGCUUCUUGCAGUCUGGGCUGGCAUCUUGGCUUACUAAGGUUUUGCCCUGUGGAGGAAUGUUCCCCUAAAAUACAGUGGAUGGCUGCAGCAGCGUUAAAGACUCCAAUGAAGGUGACAGCUUGCAGCCCUGGGAAAAGGGGACGCUGCCUUUGUUGCCUGUUAGUGGGAUUGAGCCCCGUGCUGUUGCGGUACGAAGCUCCUUGGCCUCGUUCACAUCAAUCCCUGGGGUGUAAAGAGGUGUCAAACGCUUCUGGCUGCUUUGCGGAGAGGAAACGCUGCUUUUCCGGCAGUGAGCAGGAGGUCUGUGGGGGUUUAGCACAGCUGUUGUGUGCUGUGAUGGCUUUCAGAUCCUAUCCUGUCCCAUGCGCAGAUCGUGGCUCAGGGCUGAUGAUGCCGGAUGGUUUUUAUAUCUAUCUGCCAUUUCAGGCUGUGUUUUUGCAAUGAGGAUGGAUUUUCCCACUGAGUUGCACUGGGCUUGAGAUGCUGAGCGUGGAGACUGCAGCUUCAAAAUACGCAGAAGAACACAGAGCUUUAACCUUCCACAACACAGAGCCUCCAUCCCAGCUCCGGAGAUGUAAUUCCCUAUCCCCACUGGGAGGAUUCAGACUUACUUUCAUCCCCCUGACUUUUGAGGUUGGAUCAGGGACAAUGGGAAACGUGCUGUGUCCCCAGCACUGUAAAGCAGCACAUCAGUUGGUGCUGCUAGCGUCACCCUGCCUGAAGUGCCCUCUGGCUGUUCCCUGCACAAAGGGCCCAUUUUCUUCCAGUCUUGCCAUUUUUGAAAGCUGCCUCUGAGCCUUCGUCCCAUGGGUGUCACCAGCCCUGAGCCAGGGGAGAGGGGAUGGGGUCCCAUAAAUGGGGUCCAGCAGAUCUCCUGGGGGAUCCGGAUGGCUCUGCUGUGAUUCAGGGAGGACCUUGGGGAUUAUUGAUGCCAGUUCAUCAGCGAUCACCCCAGUGCUGUGGUUUGCACUGUGGUUUCUGGGACCUUUCCCAAUUAUCACCAUUUCCACGUGUUGUUUUCCCUCUUUGGGAAAUGCUUGUUUUGCACGGUGAGGGAAAGAAAAGGAACAGAGCAGCAUAGUCUGCAGCAGGGGAUGUGCACACGAUGGAUGCAUGGUGUGGAGCCAUCCUGGCCAGACGGAUGCUCACAAAUCCUGAGUUUAAAGCCUGAAUUGUGCCCUGUGUGAACCUCACACUGACAGGUAUGAGUAUCAUGGUGUUUAUAGUGGCUUUGUCGCCGGCUAGGAAGGUAUUCGAUGAGGCGAAGCAAGACAAAGACCUCCUGGGGCGAAGUCAUCCUUUGGGUAAACGCCAGCGCUGGUGAAAGGAGAAGACUACAUCUCCCAGGGUGCCCCACGGCCAUCAUGGCUGCCAGGCAGUGCGGUGCUAAAUACUACCAACCCCAGCAUGCAACGCGGCCCAAUAUGGCUGACCGGAAGUGCUUCCGGAAGACUACAUGUCCCAGGUCCUGGAUGGAGGACUACAGCUCCCAGUACGCUGUUACAUUCCGACAAGUUUGGCCCAGCAAAGGUGUGGCCCAGUCAGUGGCGGUGACAUCGCUCCUGCCGCCCGCUCCUCGCAGCGCUGCGGCUCCGGGUCUCUGGAGGGAGCAGCUGCCCACCCAAGGCCUACUGGGCGCCUCAGCAAGGAGCAGUGCGCAUGCGUCGGGCCGCGGCGCACGCGCGCAGCCUCCCUGCGCAUGCGUUCUUCGCCCAAUUGGCGCGAGGCUUUUCGGGCGCAGCAAUGCGCAUGCGUGCCAUGCAGGGAGACGGCAGCGCGCUUGCGCGGCAGCAGGGCGGGGCAGAGGGCGGGGCGAGCGGCGGUUUUGCGCAUGCGUCCCGCGGUAGACGGGAAGCACACAUGCGCGGACCCGCGCGCUCUGAGGCUGAGGGGCGGCCGCUGCCUCGCCCCGCUCCGGGCACCAGAGGGCAGCGCUGGCGCGGAGCUCUGUGGAGAAGUGAAGUCUUUCGUGCCUUUGCGUCUCUGGGGCUCCGCGCAGACUGACUCACAAGAACGCUCGAGGGCCAAAGUGAACGUGAUUUUAUUGUCUAUGGGUUCUGGAUGUUGUGGGGACUAUUCCAAGAGGAUGACAGAGACAGGUUUUCUUCUUGCUCUUUGACGCUGUAAGGAGGAGUGGGGACUUCAAAUGUAGCAUGAAACUGAGAAUAAUCAACA